rnacentral:rRNA from 1 species
GAUGAACGCUGGCGGCGUGCCUAAUACAUGCAAGUCGAGCGAACAGACGAGGAGCUUGCUCCUCUGAUGUUAGCGGCGGACGGGUGAGUAACACGUGGAUAACCUACCUAUAAGACUGGGAUAACUUCGGGAAACCGGAGCUAAUACCGGAUAACAUGUUGAACCGCAUGGUUCAACAGUGAAAGACGGUCUUGCUGUCACUUAUAGAUGGAUCCGCGCCGCAUUAGCUAGUUGGUAAGGUAACGGCUUACCAAGGCAACGAUGCGUAGCCGACCUGAGAGGGUGAUCGGCCACACUGGAACCGAGACACGGUCCAGACUCCUACGGGAGGCAGCAGUAGGGAAUCUUCCGCAAUGGGCGAAAGCCUGACGGAGCAACGCCGCGUGAGUGAAGAAGGUCUUCGGAUCGUAAAACUCUGUUAUUAGGGAAGAACAAAUGUGUAAGUAACUAUGCACGUCUUGACGGUACCUAAUCAGAAAGCCACGGCUAACUACGUG